UGGGGAAUUGUUCGCAAUGGGCGCAAGCCUGACGACGCAACGCCGCGUGGAGGAUGAAGAUCUUCGGGUCGUAAACUCCUGUCGAGCGGGACGAACGGCCCGGGGCCUAACAGGUCUCGGGAGUGACGGUACCGCUAAAGGAAGCCCCGGCUAACUCCGUGCCAGCAGCCGCGGUAAUACGGGGGGGGCAAGCGUUGUUCGGAAUUACUGGGCGUAAAGGGCGCGUAGGCGGCCUUCUAAGUCAGACGUGAAAUCCCUCGGCUCAACCGGGGAACUGCGUCUGAUACUGGAGGGCUUGAAUCCGGGAGAGGGAUGCGGAAUUCCAGGUGUAGCGGUGAAAUGCGUAGAUAUCUGGAGGAACACCGGUGGCGAAGGCGGCAUCCUGGACCGGCAUUGACG
rnacentral:rRNA from 1 species